UACGGAAGGCAGCAGUGGGGAAUAUUGCACAAUGGGCGAAAGCCUGAUGCAGCUAUGCCGCGUGUAUGAAGAAGGCCUUAGGGUUGUAAAGUACUUUCAUCGGGGAGGAAAAAACAAAACUAAUAAUUUUAUUUCUUGACGUUACCCGAAAAAGAAGCACCGGCUAACUCCGUGCCAGCAGCCGCGGUAAUACGGAGGGUGCUAGCGUUAAUCAGAAUUAUUGGGCGUAAAGAGCACGUAGGUGGUUUUUUUAAGUCAGAUGUGAAAUCCCUGGGCUUAACCUAGGAACUGCAUUUUGAAACUGAAAUACUAGAGUAUCGUAGAGGGAGGUAGAAUUCUAGGUGUAGCGGUGAAAUGCGUAGAUAUCUGGAGGAAUACCUGUGGCGAAAGCGGCCUCCUAAACGAAUACUGACACUGAGGUGCGAAAGCGUGGGGAGCAAACAGGGAUUAGAUACC
rnacentral:rRNA from 1 species